UUUCACCAAAUCAGAAACGGUGUCAUAUCCCCCAAUCCCUAAUCUAAUAAACCCCAUUCGUCUCUCUUCUCUGUUCUCUCUCGUCACUCUCUUCUCUGUUCUCUCGUCGCUCUCACCUCUCUCGCCGCCUUCCAUGCGCUCACUUCGCCGGUGGUAGAAGAAGACGGAACCAGCAUCUUGUCCCUCGGGUGGUGGUGGUCUUCGUCUUCUUGUUUCGGCCAUUAAUUCAAUUGGUCAGUUUUCUUCACCGUCGAUCCCAACACCAGUGUUGCUGUAAAGGGAGUAACUGCUGCUCAUUUUCUAAGUCAAGUUGCUGUAAAUGGAGAAGCAUCUUCCGGGUAUAAUUUUGCUUCCGGUG